AUACCUUUCUCGGCCUUUUGGCUAAGAUCAAGUGUAGUAUCUGUUCUUAUCAGUUUAAUAUCUGAUACGUGGGUCAUUGACUCACCAUGAUAUUAAAUUAAUUUCUUGUUGGGGAGGGCCCACCACGGUAGCUUGCUGCCGGGGCCCUCGAGCGUAGCCCAUGCGUUGCACUACGGCACGGGCUUGGCGCACCCCUG
rnacentral:snRNA from 1 species